rnacentral:lncRNA from 1 species
AACCCUAAUAACUAAACAUCAUUUCCUCUCUUUGAAAUACGAAAAAGAGCAGAAGAUAAUUUCAUCGUCAUUGUUAAAUGUAUGCUUAGACACAUGGAGUUCAAGGCAGUGUGUGUAUUUAAACUUGCUACCCAUGUAGCAGAUUCAUUGCCAAGGGAAUAAUGGUAUGACGAUUGGAUGUCAUCCUUCCAUACAAACACACUCAAACAGCAUCGAUUUGAAGCCUGGAAGGCAGUGGGUGCAGGGUGCAGUAGCAAUUGAUACACACAAUAGAGUAGAUUCAUUGCGCAGAUUCAACAUCAUCCUUACAUUCCUCAGCUUUAAUAUGAUAAAGUUCUUUUAGCAUAUUCUCCCCUGGUCUGCCUAGUGGUAAGACUGUAGCUUGUGAUAUGUGGGUUAGGCACGUGUCUGAACCUUGCUGAAGAAAGCCUGGUAUUUAAGUGGAGAAAGGGCAUGGGGUGAGCCCAUUAUCAAUCGCGUUUCAAACCGAGUAUCACUAGCCCUCUGACAUUUCUUGGUUUUCAAAAAACACAGAGUAUUUACUUUUUAUUCUGCAUUGAGAUCAGACCUGUAACUAGACUUCUUUAUCCAAGUGUUGUUCCAAGUGUUGUUUUUUGUCUCAUAGCUCCAUAAGGUGGCUGCUAAUAACCUACCAGCGUAAAUUGAGAAGGAGAAUGUUGUUUACUUGUGUGAUUUAAUAUGAUAAAGUUCUUUUAUCUGUAAGGAAUAGUUCUUUCUGUAUGUAUGGUCAUCACUCAUUUGUUAGUAAUUCUUGCCUCAGCUUUAAUAUAACAAAUGUUGCUACUAACCUAUUCCUUACAGUCUUUGAUUAUCUGUAAGGAAUAGGUCUUUAUGUAUGUAUGGUCAUCACUCAUUUGUUAGUAAUUCUUGCCUUCCAAGUUUCUAGAUAUUUGCAUUUUUAUGUGAGACGUUGAAUCUGAAACUUUUCCAGCUGAACUUUUCUGGGUUAUCUUACACCCCCUCCUCCUAUUUUCUAUAUGUAUG